UGAGGAAUAUUGCGCAAUGGGCGAAAGCCUGACGCAGCGACGCCGCGUGGAGGAUGAAGGUUUUCGGAUUGUAAACUCCUGUUAAGUGGGAAGAAACGACAAAAUAUAAUACAUUUUGUAACUGACGGUACCAUUAAAGAAAGCACCGGCUAACUUCGUGCCAGCAGCCGCGGUAAUACGAGGGGUGCAAGCGUUAUUCGGAAUUAUUGGGCGUAAAGGGUGCGUAGGCGGCGUAUUAAGUCAACUGUUAAAACCUCCAGCCUAACUGGAGAUCAGCAGUAGAUACUGGUAUGCUAGAGGAUGGAAGAGAGAAGUGGAAUUCUUGGAGUAGCGGUGGAAUGCGUAGAUCUCAAGAGGAACACCAAUGGCGAAGGCAGCUUCUUGGUCCAUAUCUGACGCUGAUGCACGAAAGCGUGGGGAGCGAACAGGAUUAGAUACCCUGGUAGUCCACGCCGUAAACGAUGAUCACUAGAUGUUAAUUCUGCUUGCAGAAUUAGUGUCGUAGCUAACGCGAUAAGUGAUCCGCCUGGGGACUACGGUCGCAAGAUUAAAAGCUUAAAUGAA
rnacentral:rRNA from 1 species